GAUGAAGAACGUAGCGAAAUGCGAUAAGUAAUGUGAAUUGCAGAAUUCAGUGAAUCAUCGAAUCUUUGAACGCACCUUGCGCCUUUUGGUAUUCCGAAAGGCACACCUGUUUGAGCGUCAUUUCAACCCUCAGGCCCCCAGUGCCUGGCGUUGGGGAUCGGCGUGGGCGGCGAACGGCUCUCCGGAGCCCGAGCCAAUGCCUGCCGGCCCCGAAAUUCAGUGGCGGUCUCGCUGUAGUCCCCCUCUGCGUAGUAGCACAACUCGCAUUGGAGCUCGGCGGUGGCCAUGCCGUAAAACACCCCACUUCUGAAAGUUGACCUCGGAUCAGGUAGGAAUACCCGCUGAACUUAAGCAUAUCAAUAAGCGGAGGA
rnacentral:misc_RNA from 1 species